UGAACCAAGGAUAAAUCAUACUCUGUCACUAUUAACCUCCCUGCUCGCAGCCUAAACUAGCGAUCGCGACAAGCUGACAUUCAGACUCCGGCAACCUGACCUUAUUUCUCCAAGAUGAAAUCGGAGGCCUGCAAAUCCUCUUUGAGAACCGGUGGGUAGACGUGACGCCAACACCUGAGCAUUCAUCGUGAACAUCGGUGAUCUCUUACAGAAAUGUUCAGCUCAUCUCCGACGAGAUUCAGGUGCGUGGAACAUAGAGUGGUAUAUAGCGAGGAACGCUGCGCCGAAGGUGUUGAUGAAGUCCUUCUUUAGCACGCAUUUCCAACCAGCCUCGAUGAGGAUGUACGGUCCGAUCAAGGAGCUGCUGUCCGAUGAGAACCCGCCGUUGUAUAGAGAGACCCUUGUAGAGACUACAUCAAACAUUAAUACUCGACACCCCGGGAAAA